GGGCCGGUGGUCUAGGGGUAUGAUAUCUCGCUCACACCGAGAUGAUCAGGAGUUCGAAUCUCCUCCGGCCCA
rnacentral:tRNA from 1 species